UACGAAGGGGGGCUAGCGUUGCUCGGAAUUACUGGGCGUAAAGGGCGCGUAGGCGGCGGGUCAAGUCGAGUGUGAAAGCCCCGGGCUCAACCUGGGAAUUGCGCUCGAGACUGGUCUGCUUGAGUUCGGGAGAGGAGAGUGGAAUUCCCAGUGUAGAGGUGAAAUUCGUAGAUAUUGGGAAGAACACCGGUGGCGAAGGCGGCUCUCUGGACCGAGACUGACGCUGAGGCGCGAAAGCGUGGGGAGCAAACAGG
rnacentral:rRNA from 1 species